rnacentral:piRNA from 1 species
UCCAUUUCUUCUAGAUUUUUCAGGGUUUU